rnacentral:rRNA from 1 species
UGGGGAAUAUUGCACAAUGGGCGCAAGCCUGAUGCAGCCAUGCCGCGUGUAUGAAGAAGGCCUUCGGGUUGUAAAGUACUUUCAGCGGGGAGGAAGGUGUUGUGGUUAAUAACCACAGCAAUUGACGUUACCCGCAGAAGAAGCACCGGCUAACUCCGUGCCAGCAGCCGCGGUAAUA